rnacentral:rRNA from 1 species
GACGAACGCUGGCGGCGUGCUUAACACAUGCAAGUCGAACGGAAAGGCCCUGCUUUUGUGGGGUGCUCGAGUGGCGAACGGGUGAGUAACACGUGAGUAACCUGCCCUUGACUUUGGGAUAACUUCAGGAAACUGGGGCUAAUACCGGAUAGGAGCUCCUGCUGCAUGGUGGGGGUUGGAAAGUUUCGGCGGUUGGGGAUGGACUCGCGGCUUAUCAGCUUGUUGGUGGGGUAGUGGCUUACCAAGGCUUUGACGGGUAGCCGGCCUGAGAGGGUGACCGGCCACAUUGGGACUGAGAUACGGCCCAGACUCCUACGGGAGGAAGCAGUGGGAAAUAUUGCACAAUGGGCGGAAGCCUGAUGCAGCAACGCCGCGUGCGGGAUGACGGCCUUCGGGUUGUAAACCGCUUUCGCCUGUGACGAAGCGUGAGUGACGGUAAUGGGUAAAGAAGCACCGGCUAACUACGUG